ensembl:lncRNA
UUUUCUGAAUCUCGGGCAGAUGAACUUCCCUGAAGUGUUUCCAGCUGGGCGUCGAGUGUUUGACCGACGCAUGAAACGACACGUUUGUGAGUAUUUGGACUGUGAGUGGAUGGAGAUCCUGGUCCUCCUCAGCUCCUGCUGCUGGACAGGCCCAUGAAGCUCUGCUGUAAAGGCUUCCAUGUCCCAGGCUUCACCUUUACCUGCUGACCAACGGGAGGCGUGGCCAAAACAGCGAUGGGGAGUGGAGCAGCAGGUAGCAGAGAUGGAUCCAGGCCCUGGAUGACUGCUGGACACACAUGACCCACACUAGGCUGCCUUCAUCCAUCCUUUCCUCCUUCACUGAGACUCAGAGUCAGCAUGUAUGUAUUUAUCAGUGAUUUGAAUCCUUUCAUUACAGAGUGAAGUUAAAGUAGACGUGUGAACACACUAAUAAACACAAAGGGACACAACUACUACUCCAUGAUGGAAAGCUGAAGUAUUACACAGCUUUAUGAACCUCCUGUUAUCCUGGUAGACG